GAUGAACGCUGGCGGCGUGCCUAAUACAUGCAAGUCGAGCGAACAGACGAGGAGCUUGCUCCUCUGACGUUAGCGGCGGACGGGUGAGUAACACGUGGAUAACCUACCUAUAAGACUGGGAUAACUUCGGGAAACCGGAGCUAAUACCGGAUAAUAUAUUGAACCGCAUGGUUCAAUAGUGAAAGACGGUUUUGCUGUCACUUAUAGAUGGAUCCGCGCCGCAUCAGCUAGUUGGUAAGGUAACGGCUUACCAAGGCAACGAUGCGUACCCGACCUGAGAGGGUGAUCGGCCACACUGGAACUGAGACACGGUCCAGACUCCUACGGGAGGCAGCAGUAGGGACUCUUCCGCAAUGGGCGAAAGCCUGACGGAGCAACGCCGCGUGAGUGAUGAAGGUCUUCGGAUCGUAAAACUCUGUUAUUAGGGAAGAACAAAUGUGUAAGUAACUAUGCACGUCUUGACGGUACCUAAUCAGAAAGCCACGGCUAACUACGUG
rnacentral:rRNA from 1 species